GAUGAACGCUGGCGGCGUGCCUAAUACAUGCAAGUCGAGCGAACAGACGAGGAGCUUGCUCCUCUGACGUUAGCGGCGGACGGGUGAGUAACACGUGGAUAACCUACCUAUAAGACUGGGAUAACUUCGGGAAACCGGAGCUAAUACCGGAUAAUAUAUUGAACCGCAUGGUUCAAUAGUGAAAGACGGUUUUGCUGUCACUUAUAGAUGGAUCCGCGCCGCAUUCGCUGGUUGGUAAGGUAACGGCUUACCAAGGCAACGAUGCGUAGCCGACCUGAACGGGUGAUCGGCCACACGGGAACUGAGACACGGUCCAGACUCCUACGGGAGGCAGCAGUAGGGAAUCUUCCGCAAUGGGCGAAAGCCUGACGGAGCAACGCCGCGUGAGUGAUGAAGGUCUUCGGAUCGUAAAACUCUGUUAUUAGGGAAGAACAAAUGUGUAAGUAACUAUGCACGUCUUGACGGUACCUAAUCAGAAAGCCACGGCUAACUACGUG
rnacentral:rRNA from 1 species